UUGAACGCUGGCGGCAGGCCUAACACCUGCAAGUCGAACGGUAACAGGAAGAAGCUUGCUUCUUUGCUGACGAGUGGCGGACGGGUGAGUAUUGUCUGGGAAACUGCCUGAUGGAGGGGGAUAACUACUGGAAACGGUAGCUAAUACCGCAUAACGUCGCAAGACCAAAGAGGCGGACCUUCGGGCCACUUGCCAUCGGAUGUGCCCAGAUGGGAUUAGCUAGUAGGUGGGGUAACGGCUCACCUAGGAGACGAUCCCUAGCUGGUCUGAGAUGAUGAUCAGCAACACUGGAGCUGAGGCACGAUCCAGACUCCUACGGGAGGCAGCAGUGGAGAAUAUUGCACAAUGGGCGCAAGCCUGAUGCAGCCAUGCAGCGUAGAUGAAGAAGGCCUUCGAGUUGUAAAGUACUUUCAGCGGGAAGGAAGGGAGUAAAGUUAAUACCUUUGCUCAUUGACGUUACCCGCAGAAGAAGCCCCGGCUAACUCCGU
rnacentral:rRNA from 1 species